CAGAAAGGAGGGGAGGCAUGUGGGGGUUGGGAAGGGGAAUGGCCAGGUUCAAUCUAUUCUGAUAAAUCUCAAUUUGGCAAGGCAUUUUAAUAAGCUCCUGCCACCAUCAUGCAGCUGUUUGGAGCCCUGAAGCUCUGGGCUUUCAGAUCUGGGUGUUUGUUUAUUUGUUUGUUUGUUUUGCAGAGAUUGCUCACCAACGCGGCCACCCCCCACCCCACCCUCCAAUUCUGUCCUAUUCUUAUAGUAAUAGAGUCUCAAUUUUUAGCAGGGAAAAAUACUACAUUUCCCAGCCACCUUUGCAGCCAAGUGUGUGAUCAUGUGAUUAAGUUCUGGCCAAUAGGAUGUGAGCAGUGGUAUACCAUGUGGCAACUCCAGGUCCUGUCCUGUAAAGGAAGGGGGAGUCCCCCCCUCUUCCCUCUUCCCAUAGGUAGAAGCAAGGACAUGGGGUAAGCCAUCUUAGAUGACAGAGCUAAAAGAGAGAAGGAACCUGGGCCCCUAACCACUUUGAAAAGGAGAGCCGCCUUAACAGCCCAGGGAGGAGGGGAAUGUCUGACUUGUGAUUCACAGAUUCCAGUGAAGAUAGGGCACACCACCCAGGACUACAGGCUUCCGUCCACAUCACUCUCCUGGAACUGCCAGGCAAGAGGAGAAGACGAUGUGAGCAUUCUGGACCAGCCUGAUGCCAUGUUGACCUCCCAAACCUGCCUCAUAGAAGCUGGAAUUCUUCUACCGGGGAGCAGACUAUCAUACUGUGCAAGGUGAUAAGCCAUUUGAAUAAGGAAA